GGCGGCGGGCGGGAGCGGCGCGCGUCGCUCGGGUCCCCUUCCUGCACCGCGCCGCCACUUGCCGGUUGCUAAGCAGUUACCAUUGUUUCUGUGGCGAUCGCGGAGGCUGUUGCUAAUUGGAGAAGCCCCGCCAAGCCGCAGCCUCUCCCCUGUUCGGAUCUGCUCUCCGCUCCUCGCGUUUGAGAGAAAACUAGGCUGGUCCACCCACGCUCCCUCCCCCACCCUCCCCGAAAUAGCCGUGUGAUUUCGGAAGUAUGGACUGAAUCACACCCCUCCCCGCCGAUUGGACUCCGGUGGCUCGGAACUCGCCGUCAGACCGCACCUGCCCCCGUGCCGCCGCGCGCCCGAGGCCGGGGACCAUGACUACGGCCAAGGAGCCUAAUGCUUCGGGGAAAUCCGUGCAGCAGCAGGAGCAGGAGCGGGUGGGGAGCA